GCCGGGCAUGGUGGCUCAUGCCUGUAAUCCAAGCACUUUGGGAGGCUGAGGUGGGAGGAUCGCUUGAGACCAGGAGUUCAAAGCCAGCCUGGGCAAUAUGGCGAGACCUCGUCUCUA
rnacentral:SRP_RNA from 1 species